rnacentral:rRNA from 1 species
CUACGGGAUGCUCCAGUGGGGAAUAUUGCACAAUGGGCGCAAGCCUGAUGCAGCCAUGCCGCGUGUAUGAAGAAGGCCUUCGGGUUGUAAAGUACUUUCAGCGGGGAGGAAGGGAGUAAAGUUAAUACCUUUGCUCGUUGACGUUACCCGCAGAAGAAGCACCGGCGAACUCCGUGCCAGUAGCCGCGGUAAUACGGAGGGUGCAAGCGUUAUCGGAAUUACUGGGCGUAAAGCGCACGCAGGCGGUUUGUUAAGUCAGAUGUGAAAUCCCCGGGCUCAACCUGGGAACUGCAUCUGAUACUGGCAAGCUUGAGUCUCGUAGAGGGGGGUAGAAUUCCAGGUGUAGCGGUGAAAUGCGUAGAGAUCUGGAGGAAUACCGGUGGCGAAGGCGGCCCCCUGGACGAAGACUGACGCUCAGGUGCGAAAGCGUGGGGAGCAAACAGGAUUAGAUACCCGCGUAGUC